rnacentral:misc_RNA from 1 species
UUUCCGUAGGUGAACCUGCGGAAGGAUCAUUGUUGAGAGAGCAUUGAACAACGGAUGGUUGUGAACGUGUCAACGUGCCCGUCUCCUAGGCCCCAUGUUGGUGGCCAACCGACCGUAGCUCGGUGCGAUCGGCACCAAGGAACAACGAAUUCUGAAGCAGUGGGCCCUCGGUGUGCACGGGGAGUCCAUUGCAUAAGAGAUGAUGCUUGGAAUCUAAUGACUCUCGGCAAUGGAUAUCUCGGCUCUUGCAUCGAUGAAGAACGUAGUGAAAUGCGAUACUUGGUGUGAAUUGCAGAAUCUCGUGAACCAUUGAGUCUUUGAACGCAAGUUGUGCCCAAGGCUUUGUGGCCGAGGGCACGUCUGCUUGGGCGUCAUGGCAUCAUCGCCUUUGCUCCUUGCUUUGCUGGCGCUAAGCGCGGAAAUUGGCCUCGUGUGCCCUCGGACACAGUCGGUCAAAGAGUGGGCAGUCGGCAGUCGUCGGGCGCGAUGGGUGCUGGGUAAACCCCUAUGCAUGUAAUAUGAACGUCGCAAGCCCUUUCAACUUAGUUCGGACGAUUCCUCGAGGUAAAGACCCUGCGGGACCGCGGCAUCACUUCAAGUGAAAGUGUCGGGUCGAACUGAAUGUGGCCCCAAGGCAGGCGAGACCCACCCGCCGAGUUUAA